rnacentral:misc_RNA from 1 species
ACUUUCUCCACCACUUUCUGCACUCGUAUAUUCAGAUUUUCGACGGUGCUUCUUCUUCGUAGAAGUUCCACUAUCGCUUACGCUUCCGUUCAAAAGAGGAUCAUCGAUCCCACGUAUGACUCUUCUUGUUGGAGAUGAUGAGGCAACACCACUAUCGUCCUUUGUUUUUCUCCCUUUGUCAUGCUUCUUUAUGUUCUGAGAG